UGAGGAAUAUUGGUCAAUGGGCGGGAGCCUGAACCAGCCAAGCCGCGUGGAGGAAGAAGGUACAGAGUAUCGUAAACUCCUUUUGUCAGGGGAUAAAAGGCGCCACGAGUGGCGUUCUGAAGGUACCUGAAGAAAAAGCAUCGGCUAACUCCGUGCCAGCAGCCGCGGUAAUACGGAGGAUGCGAGCGUUAUCCGGAUUUAUUGGGUUUAAAGGGUGCGUAGGGCGGUCUUUUAAGUCAGCGGUGAAAAGCCCGGGGGCUCAACCCCGGCGAGCCGUUGAUACUGGGGAGACUGGAGAGGAAGAGAGGCAUGCGGAAUUCGCGGUGUAGCGGUGGAAUGCUUAGAUAUCGCGAAGAACUCCGAUUGCGAAGGCAGCAUGCUGGCUUCUGUCUGACGCUGAGGCACGAAAGCGUGGGGAUCGAACAGGAUUAGAUACC
rnacentral:rRNA from 1 species